GUCGGUUCGCGAUAAAAUACAAUUGCUCUGCGAAGAAUAAUUAUUGUUUUUAAACGAAACAAAAAAUAGAUGGACAUACUACGCACAAUGGGCGGGGAGCUGUUGUUGGUGAGAAGUUUGGAAAGUAGUAUAUAAAGGGGAAUUUAAUGUAUUUUUGUAUGCAAAGAUCAAUCAUUGCUAACGAAAAACGAUUCUGAGCGGAGUUUGGUUUUGAAAGGCCGUAAUAAUAAUUAUGGUUAUCUUAAAAAUUUGAUAUUAAAAUGUCUAAAUAAAAAAAAAAAACUAUAUGACACUUAAAUUUAACUUAUAUAAUGG